rnacentral:rRNA from 1 species
AGAGUUUGAUCCUGGCUCAGGACGAACGCUGGCGGCGUGCCUAAUACAUGCAAGUAGAACGCUGAAGAGAGGAGCUUGCUCUUCUUGGAUGAGUUGCGAACGGGUGAGUAACGCGUAGGUAACCUGCCUUGUAGCGGGGGAUAACUAUUGGAAACGAUAGCUAAUACCGCAUAACAAUGGAUGACACAUGUCAUUUAUUUGAAAGGGGCAAUUGCUCCACUACAAGAUGGACCUGCGUUGUAUUAGCUAGUAGGUGAGGUAACGGCUCACCUAGGCGACGAUACAUAGCCGACCUGAGAGGGUGAUCGGCCACACUGGGACUGAGACACGGCCCAGACUCCUACGGGAGGCAGCAGUAGGGAAUCUUCGGCAAUGGGGGCAACCCUGACCGAGCAACGCCGCGUGAGUGAAGAAGGUUUUCGGAUCGUAAAGCUCUGUUGUAAGUCAAGAACGAGCGUGAGAGUGGAAAGUUCACACUGUGACGGUAGCUUACCAGAAAGGGACGGCUAACUACGUGCCAGCAGCCGCGGUAAUACGUAGGUCCCGAGCGUUGUCCGGAUUUAUUGGGCGUAAAGCGAGCGCAGGCGGUUUGAUAAGUCUGAAGUUAAAGGCUGUGGCUCAACCAUAGUUCGCUUUGGAAACUGUCAAACUUGAGUGCAGAAGGGGAGAGUGGAAUUCCAUGUGUAGCGGUGAAAUGCGUAGAUAUAUGGAGGAACACCGGUGGCGAAAGCGGCUCUCUGGUCUGUAACUGACGCUGAGGCUCGAAAGCGUGGGGAGCGAACAGGAUUAGAUACCCUGGUAGUCCACGCCGUAAACG